CACGUAGGGCGCAAGCGUUGUCCGGAAUUAUUGGGCGUAAAGAGCUCGUAGGCGGUCUGUUGCGUCUGCUGUGAAAACCCGGGGCUUAACCCCUGGCUUGCAGUGGAUACGGACAGACUAGAGGUAGGUAGGGGAGAAUGGAAUUCCCGGUGUAGCGGUGAAAUGCGCAGAUAUCGGGAGGAACACCCGUGGCGAAGGCGGCUCUCUGGGACGGUACUGACGCUGAGACGCGAAAGCGUGGGGAGCGAACAGG
rnacentral:rRNA from 1 species